GCAAGGAUAGUGAAAAAGAGCAAGUGUGGCAACACCACUACUCGUAAUCUCUGUAAGCACAGGUGUAGUAAAAUUAUUUAAUUGAAAAAACCUGUUCACCUUCAGCACACUUAGUGUACAUCUGUAAGAUACAGAAGAAAUUGCACAACAUUUUAAAAAAAAGCAAUUUGGCAAGAGAAGGAAAUUUACUUUGACAAUUAGACUGCCACAUUUUCGAAGUUAUUUAUAUUAUUGGAAAAGUAUCUGAUGAAAAUUACAAUGGAUACCACCUGGAAAUGCCAAUGUAUCAAAAUUUAUAAAAGAAAAGCACCAGAAGAAAAUACUAAAAAGAUAAAUAAGUUGGUCAGCAAAAGUUGUGCUUGUAGAAGAGAUUUUCAUGAAAAGAUAUUAAAAGGGAUUAGUGAAGUUCAACCACACACUAGUUCCAAGUGCAAAUGUAAGAUACAUUUUAAUAGGUUAAAGAAAAGACUGGUAAACAGAUUAUCAAUUUGAAGUGCAAAUGUCUUAAAAUUUUUAAAGGAAACAUACCAGAGAAACAUAUAAAAAAGAAAAGUAAGUUUGUCAGCAAAAGUUGUACUUGUAGAAGAGAUGUUCAUGAAAAGAGAUUUGGAGGGAUUAGUGAAGUGUAAGUCCUUUUUUUAUUAUAUGCUUUUUUGUAAAUAUAUUUCUUAGUCAACCACACACUAGUCACAAGGGCAAAUGUAAGAUAAAUUUUAAUUGGAGAAUGGUUAAAGAAAAUACUGGUAAACAGAUUAUCAAUUUGAAGUGCAAAUGUCUUAAAAUUUUUAAAGGAAACAUACCAGAGAAACAUAUAAAAAAGAAAAGUAAGUUUGUCAGCAAAAGUUGUACUUGUAGAAGAGAUGUUCAUGAAAAGAGAUUUGGAGGGAUUAGUGAAGUACACCGUCGGCGUUGCAAAAAUUACAAGUUCCUGGUCUUACUGAGGAGAGCAAGGUACUGGCGGGAGGCGAGCCUGGCCGACGAUGUUACGCGGAGCGAGACUAUUAUGUCACCGUGGCCGCGCAUAAUCUAUAUAAAUAUCUCUCAAUGCUACUCGCUGUUUGUUUUUGUUCGCAGCGAGACAAUUGGGUCGUCCAGGUCGCAUAUAAUUAAAUUAUUAAAGAUAACCCGCAAACGUCAAUAAUUUUUUAAGAUAGAAACUAUAGUUUAUGCGAGGAAGUAUUGUCUGCAGGCACAUCCGUUAAACUGAUAAGAGGAAAGCUCUCCUUUAUCGGUAUCUGCUCAUAUAAUCAGAGGGGCGGAAAAAAUAAGCAAUAGGCAUAGUACAUUUUAUUGACUAAGACGUACAUAGCUGAAAAAAUCUAAAGCAUUGAAGAAAUCUAAUGAGGUAAGGUCUCGGGCGCUUGGCUUCGUCAGCAGCAAUAGGGACGGCGGCGGGUCUUUUCGGGUCUUUGGUAUUGGUCUUAAAGGGUGGCACCCCUGCGUCCUAGCACUUAGGAAACCACAUGGGUCCGUUGUGCCCUCAGACCGCGCUAGAAGGCGUCCAGAAUACCGCUCCUUCUAUAGGUCAACAACUCCUUUAGCCCAAUACCGUGCACUGAGUCCGGAUCGAUCAGAAGACUCCAAAUCCUGCCCAUGCCAAAACAGGUCCCUCGGUGAGCGGAUGAUACGGGGUCUCCUCCAUUGGACACCACAUAUUUCUCGCGUUGAUGACGUCGUAUAUCCCACCGCAAACGUCACAAUGCCCGUGCCUGGCGAGCUGGUCUUUUCGGCUGAACUAGCGGUUGCAAUAUUCGCAGGCGAACAUUAUUUUUUUGCCUCUCACUCCCGAACUGUUCUAGUAUCACUUAACACUUACUAUUUUUAUGCGGUGAAAACAAAAAAAUCCAAAGAAUGAAGACUGACUGUGGCGGUGGUCACAUGUUAAUAACGUCAUUUCCUUCUCCGAUAACGAAGUUAAAAUAAUGCAAACUUUCGAGUACGUUCCUUCCGGUUAAUUAAGAUUUUCUCCGGAAAUGCUUAUCAUUACUGGGUCAUAUCUGUUUCGGAUCUGUCGAAACCUUUUAGACGUUUUGAACAUGUUCGAGAGCUGUUCCGCAGUUAUUUUUAGACAUAAUUAAGAUCUGACCAAAAGCGUCCUCUCAAAUAUUUGAAAUAAAAUGACUGGAAAUAUAUUGUUGGGAUUUUAUUUUUUUAUCACAUUACAGUUUCUGAAUAUUUUUUACAAUUUUAUACAAUAUCUGCUAGACCCAAAUUUUGAAAAUAUCCGCUUUUUACUUUGUAUUCUUCGGCACGUAAGCGCAGUACUUAAAGAUCGGCCUGAACAACUGCUAUCUGAGUUUCGAGCUGCUGUAUAUUUUCUUCGCAUUGCGUCAGCUGCUUUUCCAAAUUGUAUUUUAAAUUGGACCCUCCACAAACUACCAUUUUUUUUUGUCAUCUUUAAAAGCCUCAAACCAUUCUCCUUGUGCUUGCGGUAGAGAUUUAAUUUUUCUUCUUACUUCACACUUAACUGUGAACGGGGAUGAUAUCUAGGUGACCAUCAUCCCUCCAGAAGGGGUCGUAGCAGCUGAAAAAGUAAGGUGUCUCACCUGUCGCUAAUUACAGGUGUAGGUGUAAUGUCACCUGACCUGUGGUAACCGUUAGGUGUAGGUGACACCUGUCGCUAAUUACAGGUGUAGGUGUAAUGUCACCUAACCUGUGGUAACCGUUAGGUGUAGGUGACACCUGUCGCUAAUUACAGGUGUAAUGUCACCUUACUUGUGUCGAACGUGAGGUGUAGGUGUGUAUUCGCACCCAUCGUUAUUUUUAUGACGUCACAGUGCCUUUCGGCACGCCGACCUCGUUAGAGGGUUAAUUUUUUGAUAUGUUUAACACCUUAAUCCAUAAUAAUUCUUCCCUUUCAAACAUUGAAAAAUUUCAAUUUUUAUUGUCUUAUUUGGUCGUAUUGGUAGUAUAGCUUACAAUGCUCUCGUGAAGCGUUAUUAAAAGAUCGAUUGAUGUUAACCGAUUAUUGGCUGUCGAUCUUACGGGCUCGGACUAUGAAGAGUGACUCGGUUGUCGAACUGAGGAGAUUGCUUUCAACAUUUUCAGAGAAUCUUGCAGCUAUCGAUAAAUUCAAUAUCGACUUGUGGGAUUUUACAAAAUUCAAUUUGCUUUUAGAGAAACUCAACUCGACUUUCAAGAUGUCCCGUUAAGACCAAUAGUUAGCGCACCCGGAUCACCAACGUAUUACUUGGUUAAACACUUGGCAUCGCUGCUCCAACCACACAUAGGACACGGCACCAGUUACAUCAAGGACUCCACCGACUUCAUGCGCAAGAUUCAAGAUAUCAAUAUUGAACAAAACGACAUCUUUGUGAGCUUCGACGUCGUCUCACUGUUUACCAAAGUACCUCUGAAGAGUUGCUUGGACAUGGUGAACUGGAUAUUUCCUGUCGAUAUUUGCUGACUUUUUGAAGUCUGUCUGACCGGUAGCUAUUUUGUGUUUAAGGGAAACUUCUACGAACAGGUGGAUGGAGUGGCAAUGGGAAGCCCAUUAAACCCGGUUAUAGCCAACUUAUUUAUUUUGAGGAAAAAGCGAUCGAGACCUCAGAGUACAAGCCAGCAAAGUGGUUCCGGUGCGUGGAUGACACCUUCAUGAUUUGGAAACAUGGUAUGGACAAGCUCAACAACUUUCUGCAGCAUCUCAACAGUCAACAUCCCAGCAUCCAGUUUACUAUGGAGACUGAAAAUGACCAACAACUUGCAUUCUUGGACGUACUAGUGAGGAAGCGAGGUAACAAGCUGGGCCACACAGUUUACAGAAAACCAACCCAUACGGACAGAUACCUGCAUGCUCUAUCCAACCAUCACCCAAGUCAAAAGUAUGGGGUUAUCAGAACCCUGACAGAACGAGCCCGAAGGAUUUGCGAACCGGAGAACCUCCAGAUGGAAUUUGAACACCUAAAAACUACGUUCCAGCGAAAUGGCUACAACAAGAGGGAGAUCGAAAGAUCAAUGAACUCAAGACCAUCGAGAUCACGGGAUACCGAACAACGACCCUUCACCUCCCACGCAUAUCUGCCGUAUAUUCCGAGUGUCACCAACAGGAUUGGCAGAGUAACGGCUAUCACAACAGACUAGUCAGGGAAGCCAUUGAGAUACAAAAACAUCCACACAAUUUCAACAGAAAGGAGGAGACCCUUAGACUCAACCAAAUCUGAAACCCGAUCCUUAGGAACGCCCGAGCAGUACCGAUCGAUAUCCCGAGACCAACCGAAGCGGAACAAGCCCCGCCCACCACCAAUCGGCAUAAAUACAACCUGCGCAGGAGAAAUCGUCAGUCUACGUCCAACAUCGGAGUUGGAAGGACCUCUGAAGAAGCUCGCCACUCGUGCUAGCGAAACGUUAGGAAGUAAUUCCAAUCGACGACGGCCUUUAAACCCGAAUCAAGAUAAUAGCUGAAUGGGUCCUGUUCUGCGAAGGAAAAGACAUAGAGUUACUGAUACUCCAUAACAAGUUGUGCAACUAUGCUUGAAAUUGACAUACCCGUGGCACAACCUUCGACUUGUUUAUAGAACAUGUUUUUAUAUUGAAAAAAUGUGGAUUUUAGUGUAAAAUCUAAAGCCAUUAAAAAUUCAUUGAG